AGGGUGUAAACGCUGCAGACUUGGUGUUGGAAAUCCUUCGAGGGUAUUCAGUGCCGGAGAGAAGUUGUUAAGUCUGCUACUUGGGGAGUACGUCCGCAAGGAUGAAACUUAAAGGAAUUGGCGGGGGAGCACCGCAACGGGAGGAGCGUGCGGUUUAAUUGGAUUCAACGCCGAAAAACUCACCAGCAGCGACUGUUACAUGAAAGUCAGGUUGAUGACCUUACUAGACUUUCGGAGAGGAGGUGCAUGGCGUCAGUGACU
rnacentral:rRNA from 1 species